rnacentral:ncRNA from 2 species
UACGAAGGGGGCUAGCGUUGCUCGGAAUCACUGGGCGUAAAGGGCGCGUAGGCGGCUGAUUUAGUCGAGGGUGAAAGCCCGUGGCUCAACCACGGAAUGGCCUUCGAUACUGAUUGGCUUGAGACCGGAAGAGGACAGCGGAACUGCGAGUGUAGAGGUGAAAUUCGUAGAUAUUCGCAAGAACACCAGUGGCGAAGGCGGCUGUCUGGUCCGGUUCUGACGCUGAGGCGCGAAAGCGUGGGGAGCAAACAGG